CUCACAUUGUCUUUGAUCCCUGUGGUCUAAAUGGCUGCAUUUUAUAGACUCAGAGGCAUUUAGUGUCUGUUAAGAAAAAAGAUAAUAACCUCCAAAUUCCUAUUGCCUUUUCCCAAAUUAUUUACAGAUUUCAGUUACUAACUGAAAAGAGGGCCUUCAUUCAAAUAUGAAUAAAGGAAGUGAUGUGGCAUUUACUCAACAUUUCAUUUUUUCUUCUUGGUUCUUUUUACUUUCCAGCUGUUCAGUGUCUUUUCUCUUAUGCCCAGACUAUAUACCAGCCUUACCAGUCUUGGCAGAGGAGAGAUGUCUGUCCCAAGAGGAAUAUUGGACUCUCUCCUGUCAUUUGCAUACAAUUCACCUACCCUAAGCUCUGUUUCCAAAGAUACUGGCCUUUCCAUGCUGAAAUGAUGGAGAGUGAAAAUAAGAUAUCAAAUGUGGGCAGCUAUCAGUCUACCUGCAGGGCAGCUGCUGAGACUUUACUGCCUGUAUAUGGACCCUGACUAUCCUCCAGCUCAUAUCAGGACACUUGAGAAGGACCCAAGGAUCACCACUGGGCUCUAAGAAUGAAGGAGGUGAGGACUAAAGUGAAUGUUAUUCUGCAUCACAUGGAGCCCUUCCAAAAGACUGUUGCUGAUGUGUUAUUCAUUCAGAAACCUUGAUUCCUUCCACCUUGUUCAUAACUCCUCACAUCAGAUCAAUAAAAAAAUACCAUUGAUUCUAAUUAACA
rnacentral:lncRNA from 1 species